rnacentral:rRNA from 1 species
GUGGGGAAUAUUGGGCAAUGGGCGAAAGCCUGACCCAGCAACGCCGCGUGAGGGAAGAAGGUUUUCGGAUUGUAAACCUCUGUCCUUGGUGACGAACACAAUGACGGUAGCCAAGGAGGAAGCCCCGGCUAACUACGUGCCAGCAGCCGCGGUAAUACGUAGGGGGCAAGCGUUGUCCGGAAUGACUGGGCGUAAAGGGCGUGUAGGCGGCCGAUUAAGUCUGGAGUGAAAGUCCUGCUUUCAAGGUGGGAAUUGCUUUGGAGACUGGGUGGCUUGAGUGCGGAAGAGGCAAGUGGAAUUCCCAGUGUAGCGGUGAAAUGCGUAGAUAUCGGGAGGAACACCAGUGGCGAAGGCGGCUUCCUGGCACAAUACUGACGCUCAUGUGCGAAAGCUAGGGCAGCGAACGGGAUUAGAUACCCGGGUAGUCC